rnacentral:rRNA from 1 species
UCCGCAUCCGUCCUAAAAGAAGAAGAAGAUGCGCCACGAACCGUGCAGGCCUUUUCAGAUGGUGCUGGCAAAACCAAGCCACGAAUUAAAGUCACAAAGGGAAGGCUUCCCCAAGAAUCUUUAGCAUGCACAACACCCGUAAAACUAUCGGAGCGCCCAACGAUAAAAAUGAUUGGCAACACAACGGAGCGAUCAAAAUACCAAGGCUUCCGACACUGUACCCCCGCAAACUCUCGGAGUUAAGAGGAGGGGCGGUACGAACAACAUCAUCGAACGUUACAUUCCGAACCGGGUCCGUUUCUCACGAAGGCAACACGAAACCUAGCGAAAUCCGACGCGUAGGCGCGAAAAAGACGUGGUACUCGUCAGUCGGCCGCAACAAAGCGGGGGGCCUGACGUAGCACACACAUCAACAACCACUCACAUGCCGUCACGGUCACAACCCAUCAAAACCCACCGCCUUUCCCCCAAACGUAGAA